rnacentral:rRNA from 1 species
UACGUAGGGCGCAAGCGUUGUCCGGAAUUAUUGGGCGUAAAGAGCUCGUAGGCGGUCUGUCGCGUCUGCCGUGAAAACCCGAGGCUUAACCUCUGGCUGGCGGUGGAUACGGGCAGACUAGAGGUAGGUAGGGGAGAAUGGAAUUCCCGGUGUAGCGGUGAAAUGCGCAGAUAUCGGGAGGAACACCGGUGGCGAAGGCGGUUCUCUGGGCCUUACCUGACGCUGAGGAGCGAAAGCGUGGGGAGCGAACAGG